GACGAACGCUGGCGGCGUGCUUAACACAUGCAAGUCGAACGGAAAGGCCCUGCUUUUGUGGGGUGCUCGAGUGGCGAACGGGUGAGUAACACGUGAGUAACCUGCCCUUGACUUUGGGAUAACUUCAGGAAACUGGGGCUAAUACCGGAUAGGAGCUCCUGCUGCAUGGUGGGGGUUGGAAAGUUUCGGCGGUUGGGGAUGGACUCGCGGCUUAUCAGCUUGUUGGUGGGGUAGUGGCUUACCAAGGCUUUGACGGGUAGCCGGCCUGAGAGGGUGACCGGCCACCUUGGGACUGCGAUACGGCCCAGACUCCUACGGGAGGCAGCAGUGGGGAAUAUUGCACAAUGGGCGGACGCCUGAUGCAGCAGCGCCGCGUGCGGGAUGCCGGCCUUCGGGUUGUAAACCGCUUUCGCCUGUGACGAAGCGUGAGUGACGGUAAUGAGUAAAGAAGCACCGGCUAACUACGUG
rnacentral:rRNA from 1 species